rnacentral:misc_RNA from 1 species
UUAUUUCGGCGACUCGUAAGCG